rnacentral:rRNA from 1 species
UGGUCAAGAAAAGCCGCUAUUGUUCAUACCAUACCCGUACCGUAAACCGACACAGGUGGAUGAGGAGAGAAUCCUAAGGCCGGCGGAAGAAGCAUUGUCAAGGAACUCGGCAAAAUGACCCCGUAACUUCGGGAGAAGGGGUGCCUGUGAGAGCAGGCCGCAGAGAAUAGGCUCAAGCAACUGUUUAGCAAAAACACAGGUCUAUGCGAAGCCGAAAGGUGAGGUAUAUGGGCUGACGCCUGCCCGGUGCUGGAAGGUUAAGAGGAGAGGUUAGCGCAAGCGAAGCUUUGAAUUUAAGCCCCAGUAAACGGCGGCCGUAACAAUAACGGUCCUAAGGUAGCGAAAUUCCUUGUCGGGUAAGUUCCGACCCGCACGAAAGGCGUAAUGAUUUGAGCGCUGUCUCGACAAUGCAUCCGGUGAAAUUGAAGUACCAGUGAAGAUGCUGGUUACCUGCGCCAGGACGGAAAGACCCCAUGGAGCUUUACUCCAGUUUGGUACUGGGAUCCGGUACUGCAUGUACAGGAUAGGUGGGAGGCUGAGAAUCGGUAACGCCAGUUGCCGAGGAGCCGCUGUUGGGAUACCACCCUUGCAGUAUUGGGUUUCUAACCAGCCGCCGUGACCCGGCGGUGGGACAAUGCCAGACGGGGAGUUUGACUGGGGCGGUCGCCUCCGAAAGGGUAUCGGAGGCGCCCAAAGGUUCCCUCAGGAUGGACGGAAACCAUCCAAAGAGUGCAAAGGCAGAAGGGAGCUUGACUGCGACACCGACGGGUGGAGCAGGUACGAAAGUAGGGCUUAGUGAUCCGGUGGUAUUAAGUGGGAAUGCCAUCGCUCAACGGAUAAAAGCUACCCUGGAUAACAGGCUUAUCACUCCCAAGAGUUCACAUCGACGGAGUGGUUUGGCACCUCGAUGUCGGCUCAUCGCAUCCUGGGGCUGUAGUAGGUCCCAAGGGUUGGGCUGUUCGCCCAUUAAAGCGGUACGCGAGCUGGGUUCAGAACGUCGUGAGACAGUUCGGUCCCUAUCCGGCGUGGGCGUAGGAUAUCUGAGAGGAGCUGUCCUUAGUACGAGAGGACCGGGAUGGACGGGCCGCUGGUGCACCGGUUAGACUGCCAAGUCUAUAGCCGGGUAGCCAAGCCCGGAAGGGAUAAACGCUGAAGCCAUCUAAGCGUGAAGCCCCCCUCAAGAUGAGAUAUCCCAUCCGAAAGGAGUAAACCCCCUUGAAGACGACGAGGUCGAUAGGGCAGAGGUGGAAGUGUGGUAACACAUGGAGCUGACUGCUACUAAUAGGGUGAGGGCUUGACC